AUGAAAGCAUUUCCUUUUUAAUGCUAUAAACAAAUACAGUCCUACAAUUCUUUUGAAUAUGUAUUUGUUUGUGUAAGUUUACUGAAGAACUCUUUUUUUCUGCUAUAUAUUUCUUUGUCCUAAAGAAGGCAGGUUUUUUUUCCUUGUCCAGCCAUUGUCUGGUACAGUAAUAUGACUCAGCCCCAAAAUCCUGGGAUACAGAGUAAAUAAUCUGCAAUCUACUCUUACAGCCAUUAAUUCCCAAUUAAUUCCCAAAGAGAGCUAAUUUUUUUUAAUUUUUUUUUUUCCCCUAGGAGAAAGUGAGUGUUUUCCUUUGGAAAUGUCUUCACUGGUGCUUGACAGCCUUUUCUGUUCACUUUUGAAAGAACGUAAUUAUGGAUCUGAUUAGAUCUGUCAGCGCAGACAGGAGCAGAGGAUGAGAACAGCAGGGCAGAAAUACCUUUCUUUAGCAGCAAAAGGCUCAUUGAUUCCAGGGAUCCAUCAGCCACACCAUGAUGUUAUAACAAUCAACCCAAACAAAUGCUGAAUGAUAUUUUAAAUAUCCUUUAAUUAAUGGUAUUUUACUUUUUUCCUCAAAAGGAAAAAAAAAGAUGUUUACCAGCUGGGAUCAUUCAGAUACUUUGCCUGUGGGACUGGCUUCGGUUAUAGCAGUUCAAGGAACAGAGUUUACUGGCCUGGACAAAUACUCUUGGCUUUUCCCUGCCUCCAGCUGUGAGCCCUCAGUGCACCUUGACAUGGUGGUGAUGGAUGUCCAAGGACUGUGGUCUGAAAUUCCAGGUACAGCAGUUGAAUGGGUCUCCUUAGCUCAGUGCCAUGUUUUGGGACUGAGCUGAACGGGUUGAGUUGGUUUUCUCUGAUCUCCCUUGGCUUUCAUUCCAGUGAUUUUGGCCCAUUUCUUCCUCCCCAGGCCAGCAACGACCAUAACUCAAUCAUCCUGACAUCGGUACCAGCAGUGUCUCCGGAGAGCUCUGGGCAGAGUGAAGGCCACGAAUAACAGUGGGAUAGUAACCAGCAUCGUUCCCAGUGUCCAGCUGGGAUUGCUGACUUGUAGCUUCGAAGCCAGCUGGUGAGGACAUGAGGCUUGGUAAGGAAAAAGGCCUAAAGGAACCUUUAAUUAUGCUAGAAUAUGUUGCUGAAUACCAAAACUAAUAAGCUGUUUUGCAGCAUUGAGGUCCUAUGUGAAUCGAUUAGAAAAACCCCUCUCAUUUUCUUUAGGGUCAGGAUGGAAAUGUGACUCACAGCAAAUCCCAUAUUGAAAUCCUGUUUAUUUAAUUACUUCAACUCAGCCUUGAGGCUGCAAUUGUGUGCCCAGAGAUGUGCUAAUACCCACUGUUAUUUUCAGAAUCUUCCUCUUCUAGUGCAAUGACAUUCACAUCCAUCACAACCCAAAACAAAGGCAAAACCUUAUAUGAGGUUACUUUCUGUUGUUUGCCACUGAGGACAACAAAACAGGCUUAUCAUCUACAUUUUGGGGGUUGCCUGUUUACUUGCUUUUGGAGGCAGUGAUCUAUAAAAGCUUGAGAGCUAUUGAUGCAUACAGUCACACUACAGCGAUCUUGUCAAUACAAAUUAAUUGUAUGAGGCCUGUGGAUAAAACUGCCUUUGCUAAAUAAGUAACUGAAGAAAUAAUAACCUGUCCAUUCUGCUAGAUUCCGUAAUAUACAGACUUUUUCCCAAGAAAAGUUAUAUGAGCAUAUCAAGGAAGUGUCUAUUGAUUUUCUGGUGAUGCUGGAGGAGGGAGGGUGACAAUAAAUCUGUAUAACAGAGUUGCAGAGUAGCUUCCUAACUAAGUGGUCUGUAACUUGUGGCAAACCAUUACUAAUACUAAAUCUCUAUAAAUAACCUUACCUCUUGGUUUGUUUUGAAUGUUGUUGUGUCUACGUUUACUAUCUUCAUUAAGUGCUUUAGGUUUAGCUUUUCUAGGGUGGUUUACAUAUGUACAGUUAUUUCACCAGGUUCAACAUGUGCCGCAUUUAUGUACAACCAUAAAAUUGUAAAUUUUCCAUAAUCUGCAGGGUAAAAGACACACUAGUUUUUUGAAGGCUUCAUUUAAAUAUUUAAUUCACUCACAUUUAGUUUUAUUUAACCUUUAAAAGAGUGUUUGCUGAUUUUUUCCCUUGUUCUUAGCCCUACGUUAAAUUACCACAAUCUGUAGUUUAGCUAGUAUAGGCAUCUUUUAUCGAGUGUUUUCACAGACUGCUGCUUUUUGUAGCAUUUCUUGGGCAUUCAAGAAAAAACCCAGCUAAUUCCAGGAAUCUAAGAAACUGUGGUUUUUACAAUGCUGACUGCUUCACCAUUGUGUAUCCCCCUGAUUCCCAUGUAUUCUGCAGAUCCAGAUGCCACAAGUGUCACCCAGGCUGAAGGACUGAAGUGCCCCAUGCUGUUAACCCAUGGUGUCACUUGACUUGCCCAUUGUGCUUGUACAAGAGGUCUGUACCUUGUGUGACAGGAUUGCUGGUCUCAGCACUAAAUACAUUCUGGACUCUGCAAACCAGCUGAUGGAGGUACUGGGAUGGGAGCCAUGUUUUGUAUCACCAAGAAAUAGGCUGCAGCAGAAGGGCUGAUUCUUAUUUCAGAGCACAUCAGCCUGGCAGAGGACAAAUGGAGGUAGGUGGGUACAUGGUCCUGGAGGGAAAGCUUGGUGAAAAAGCUCUGAGCCAGCCAGGGCAAUGAGGUUAACCUGAUGCCUUCCACACUGAAAGGUGGAAAUGGGUCUGAGUGACCAGGCUACCUUCCCCUCCACUGGGACACUUGGAUGCUGAGCUGGUGGGAAAGGGUAAUGGGGUGCCUGCUUGGCAUCACUGAUGCCUGGAGCAGUGGAUCAUUUUUCAGCUUUGGCAGGGAGCUGCCAGUGCUAAACUUCACUGCAGCUACAAAGGCAGGCUGACCUCUGCUCAGAGAGACUCAGCUCUGGGCCAGCAGGCAGCCAUGAAUUUGGUACCUGAAACUCUCCUUCUGCAUACAGAUAAGGCUGCUAUAAUUCACCAUAAGCUACUGAAGAACAGUUGGAUGGUAAUUGCAGGUGUUCGCAGACUCCGGAUAAGGAAAUUUUCAAAAAUGCUGAAUUGUGACCUCUGUGCAUUGCAACCCGUGGAAGCUUUAUUACUUCGUCACCUUUUCCUGCUGUGGUGACCCGUCUUUGGCUUUGUCAUGCAGAACCUGUCAGAUACCCUUCAGGGCUAAGGUGUACAGCAGAGAAGGUGUUAUAUUAUUCACACUAAUACAUGGAGUUUACAGGAUCUGGAUAUUCCUGGAUGUUUCCUGCUCUCCUGCCAUCUAUUCUGUUCCUCUGCCUAUUCUGGAUGGUUUGUAACCUUUAAGCCAAGCACUCCAGAGGUAAGCCAGAUUUGGGAAUUUUCCUUUCACACUACUGCUCAGCCUGCUUUGUGGAAUUGGAGAAUUGGGCCCACAGCUGCCAAGCAGCUCAAAGUAUCACUGCUGGAAUGCUGGCACAUCACCUCCUUCAUGGUCUAAACUACUGGAGUAAAGAAUCUGAAAUUGCUUUUAAUUAAAUGUUCAGCAGAAAUGAUAGCACAGUUAGUUAUUAGACUGGCUAACAGAGGUUAAACCACAGAAAUUCUAAAAUUAACUUUACACUGGAUAUACUUUUCAAAUGUCCUAGCUGGGCUGAAUUUCUCAGGAGAAGGCAGGGCUGCUGCAAGGCUGUUAUUUGAGAGGAUAAUGGGGUCAGUAUCAGUAGAGCUUCUCAUUUCAUCCAGCUCAUUUGCCCUUGCUGGCCCUCCACUUCAGUGGCAGAAAAGGAGUUACCAGAUACUGGAGAGAUUCUGUUGCAGCUAAUAACGUAAGCUCAUGUUUCGAUAAAAGUUUUAUUUCAAUUGUUCUCCAUUUCAACUUUGGACAAAGUAUAAGCCUCAAAAUACAGUGUCUGUAGAGAUAUAUAGAAAGAAGCUGUAGCUGUAGAACAGGCCUAUUGCCCCUGUUGAUCAGGGCAACGCUGACUCCCACAGCCAGUUUGGGUGUCAUACACAGUCCAGUUUUAUAGCCGUGACACAGACACAGCCCCUGAGGCUCAGCAGCACCCUAGCUCGUGGUGCUAAAAAGGGCUGUGCCUCCUAGAGGAGUCCAGAGCCAUCAUAAUGUACCUGCUUGUGGCUCUAGGGCAGAGAUGGGCUCCUGUCACCCCAGGCAGAACACCCCAUGGCUUUGUUGGCAUGUGACCAUGGUGCAUCCCUACACACCUAUAUACACACAUCUCUAUAUGUACACAUAUUCCAUGUAAUUUUAUGAACUUGUCAGACUUCAUAAAGAGUGGGGUGGCUGUUGGCAGUGGGAUGGGGCAGCAACAUGGAAAUAGGUCUUAAAAGAAUGGUUCAAACUAUCCACAUCAGAGGAUGUGAAAGGAGAACUUGCUGCAGGGUAGGCAGUGACCACAUCUGCCAAAUGAGCACUAUAAAAUUAUGCUGAGACUUCUUUCCCAGAAAGGCCCUGACAAGGCCCUCUCUUCUGAGGCUCCUUGUCCUCUAUUAGUCAUAAUUCUAAGAUAGUGAACCUGAACAGAGUAACUGGGAUGUGAGUCUGGAUGAACAAAUACAUCAGGAGGGUAAGCUGAGUAUAUCUGUGAUGGAAAUCACAACAUGACAGAAUGCAUACAAAAUAUGAAACGAAGAUUAUACAACCUUCCCAGUCUUCUUCCAUUAACAAUUGGCUCAGUACUUCUCCAGUAUACACACAACCAGGCCAAAAAAACCCUAAGUAACUAAUUUUUAUAGUGUGCAGCCAUCAAGACAAUGCUCAGGUAUCAAAACUCUGGUGAUGUUUUAACUGAGAAAUCCACUUCAUAAAUCAUAUUUGGCAAUUAGAGAAAACCACAAUGUGACAUCUUAGCUUUUUUGUUGUUUUCGUUAUAUAUUUUUAUAAUGUUGUUACUCAGCUGUUACUUUUUUAUGUGGACCUUUUUUAGCAUUUUAGAAUUUGUUCAAAGUCUCCUGCCUCUAAAGCAUCAAUUAAGCAGAACAGCCAAGUACAGAACUGAUGUAAAAAUAGAUAGGCCUGAAAUAUCAGUGACUGCAGCCUACAAUGGGCAAAAGUACCAUGUACUUUAGUCAGUUACUAGGCCAUAUUUCAAAAAUUCAGUGAAAUGAAUAAUAUAAAGUUACUCUGACCUUGCAAAAUAAAUAGCAAUACCCUGAAGACACACUAAAAACAUCUAAGGAAGUAGAACUGUUUUCUCUCUUUUAAACAACAUUUCAUUCAAUGGAAAAGAAGCCAAGGAAUUCAUUUUUUCAGAUGAUUUAAGAUGUAGUAUGCUGAUAGUUGUCUUCCAAUAGCAACAAUUAAAAUAGCUUGCUUUUAUAACCAGACUGUAGAUGUUAUUUUCACUAUUAGUCCAUGCUUCUUUAAACAGCAUUAUUUGCUAAAACCCAGCGGAUUCUUUUGAACACAAAAGCAUUAGUUUUUCAGGAUUUGUGUGGAGAUAUUUUGUCUCAUUUUUUCCCAAGCCUACUACCAAGAUGAUAAGUCCAUACAAGAACAUUCAGCUCAGAACUCAAUACCUACAUAUCCAGAGUGUUUUAAGGAAAGUGGGUCUAACAAGCUGCAACAUCUUAGGUCUUCAGUCACGGCUUCCCUAAAAGUCAGAAAUGUGCUCAGGUAUCAUUUUUUCAGUUGGUUGAUCUUUUUUUUAAAAAGUGCUAUU